GCCGACGUAGCUCAGCUGGCCAGAGCGUCUGAUUUGUAAUCAGAGGGUCGCCGGUUCGAAUCCGGCCGUCGGCU
rnacentral:tRNA from 1 species